rnacentral:rRNA from 1 species
GAUGAACGCUGACCGAAUGCUUAACACAUGCAAGUCUACUUGAACUUCGGUUUGGGUGGCGGACGGGUGAGUAACGCGUAAAGAACUUACCUCACAGUUAGGGACAACAUUUUGAAACGAAUGCUAAUACCUGAUAUUAUGAUUUUAGGGCAUCCUAAGAUUAUGAAAGCUAUAUGCGCUGUGAGAGAGCUUUGCGUCCCAUUAGCUAGUUGGAGAGGUAACGGCUCACCAAGGCGAUGAUGGGUAGCCGGCCUGAGAGGGUGAACGGCCACAAGGGGACUGAGACACGGCCCUUACUCCUACGGGAGGCAGCAGUGGGGAAUAUUGGACAAUGGACCAAAAGUCUGAUCCAGCAAUUCUGUGUGCACGAUGACGUUUUUCGGAAUGUAAAGUGCUUUCAGUUGGGAAGAAAAAAAUGACGGUACCAACAGAAGAAGAGACGGCUAAAUACGUG